GAUGAACGCUGGCGGCGUGCCUAACACAUGCAAGUCGAACGAUGAUCUUUCGGGAUCAUAGUGGCGGACGGGUGAGUAACACGUUAGUACCUGCCCUUUAGUGGGGAAUAACCCGGCGAAAGUCGGGCUAAUACCGCAUGAGACCGUUUACGGUGAAAGCCUUCGGGCGCUAAAGGAGGGGCUUGCGUCUGAUUAGCUUGUUGGUAGGGUAAUGGCCUACCAAGGCAAUGAUCAGUAGCUGGUUCGAGAGGAUGACCAGCCACACUGGGACUGAGAUACGGCCCAGACUCCUACGGGAGGCAGCAGUGAGGAAUCUUCCGCAAUGGACGAAAGUCUGACGGAGCAACGCCGCGUGCAGGAUGACGGCCUUGG
rnacentral:rRNA from 1 species